rnacentral:rRNA from 1 species
AUUGAACGCUGGCGGCAGGCCUAACACAUGCAAGUCGAACGAGUGGCGGACGGGUGAGUAAUGUCUGGGAAACUGCCUGAUGGAGGGGGAUAACUACUGGAAACGGUAGCUAAUACCGCAUACCAUCGGAUGUGCCCAGAUGGGAUUGGCUAGUAGGUGGGGUAACGGCUCACCUAGGCGACGAUCCCUAGCUGGUCUGAGAGGAUGACCAGGCACACUGGACCUGAGACACGGUCCAGACUCCUACGGUAGGCAGCAGUGGGGAAUAUUGCACUAUGGGCGCAAGCCUGGUGCAGCAAUGCCGCGUGUAUGAAGAAGGCUUUCGUGUUGUAAAGUACUUUCAGCGGGGAGGCGUUACCCGCAGAAGAAGCACCGGCUAACUCCGUGCCAGCAGGCGCGGUAAUUC